rnacentral:misc_RNA from 1 species
CAAAUGCGAUAUAUAAUAUGAAUUGCAGGCUUCUGUGAAUCAUUGAGACUUUGAACGUACUGCGCCCGGACUAACCUCUGGGCACAUUCGGUUGAGUGACAAUUUUAAUUCUGGUUUUCGAACCGAUUUUCGGCGGUUUGAUCUGCAAUCAAUCCGUUUAGAUACGGCCGGCCCGACAUGUCCGAACGUGCCUUUUGAGCAAGCGAGACCACGAACAAAAGGGGCAUGUUUGUGUGGCAAAACAGGGUUUGCUUACCAAUUUUCAACCAGGCGAAAGCCGGUUAAACGAUACACUUAUGUCCUCAACUCGAGUGAGACUACCCGCUGAACUUAA